UACGUAGGGAGCAAGCGUUGUCCGGAAUCAUUGGGCGUAAAGCGCGCGUAGGUGGCCCCAUAAGUCCGCUGUGAAAGUCAAAGGCUCAACCUUUGAAAGCCGGUGGAUACUGUCGGGCUCGAGUCCGGAAGAGGCGAGUGGAAUUCCUGGUGUAGCGGUGGAAUGCGCAGAUAUCAGGAGGAACACCAAUGGCGAAGGCAGCUCGCUGGGACGGUACUGACGCUGAGGUGCGAAAGCGUGGGGAGCAAACAG
rnacentral:rRNA from 1 species